GGCGCUGGAGCCAGACGGCAAGGCGGCUGCCUGCAAAGCAGUCUUAAGUGGGUUCGACUCCCACCGGCGUCU
rnacentral:tRNA from 1 species